ACGAAUUUAAAAGCGCGCCUGAAGUUAAACAACAUGUUGUCGUGAUUUGGAAAGAGUGGUUAAUAUGUGAGUUGACGUUUGUUAAACAAGGAGGCUGUGGCUUUUCUUAGAAUAUUUGACGCGAUGCUGGUAUUUGUUUAAUACUUGUUUUGAAACUGAAUAUCAUCUUUGGAUUAUCAAGUGAAAACAGGAUGCAACUCCCGAUUGCCAAUUGGGCAACGGUUUUCUUCGCAACGCUUUUGCGUAGUAUAAAACGUAACAUCAAUCUAGUUCUACUCCAUACCGACGAAUCGACAGAUACACAGAUAUCAAGAUGAAGCAUACAACACUUCUGACAUUAUUUCUUUUGGUGACAAUGGCUGCCGCCUUACCAUUAGAUCUAUCAGACGGCAGUAGCGACGGUCGUGCCAUCGAUUUACUUUGGGGCGGCGGCGGUGGUGGCGGCG